GUGGGGAAUAUUGGACAAUGGGCGAAAGCCUGAUCCAGCCAUGCCGCGUGUGUGAAGAAGGUCUUCGGAUUGUAAAGCACUUUAAGUUGGGAGGAAGGGCAGUAAGCUAAUACCUUGCUGUUUUGACGUUACCGACAGAAUAAGCACCGGCUAACUUCGUGCCAGCAGCCGCGGUAAUACGAAGGGUGCAAGCGUUAAUCGGAAUUACUGGGCGUAAAGCGCGCGUAGGUGGUUUUGUACGUUGAAGGUGAAAUCCCCGGUCUCAACCUGGGAACUGCCUACAAAACUGCAUGACUAGAGUACGGUAGAGGGUAGUGGAAUUUCCUGUGUAGCGGUGAAAUGCGUAGAUAUAGGAAGGAACACCAGUGGCGAAGGCGACUACCUGGACUGAUACUGACACUGAGGUGCGAAAGCGUGGGGAGCAAACAGGAUUAGAUACCCGGGUAGUCC
rnacentral:rRNA from 1 species